GACGAACGCUGGCGGCGUGCUUAACACAUGCAAGUCGAGCGGUAAGGCCCUCUCGGGGGUACACGAGCGGCGAACGGGUGAGUAACACGUGGGUGACCUGCCCUCAGCUCUGGGAUAAGCCUGGGAAACCGGGUCUAAUACUGGAUAUGACUCCAUGACGCAUGUUGUGGGGUGGAAAGCCUUGUGCGGCUGAGGAUGGGCCCGCGGCCUAUCAGCUUGUUGGUGGGGGAUGGCCUACCAAGGCGACGACGGGUAGCCGGCCUGAGAGGGCGACCGGCCACACUGGGACUGAGACACGGCCCAGACUCCUACGGGAGGCAGCAGUGGGGAAUCUUGCGCAAUGGGCGAAAGCCUGACGCAGCGACGCCGCGUGAGGGAUGACGGCCUGG
rnacentral:rRNA from 1 species